UAACCACAUGUAGCCCCUCUCCCUGUUUGAGAUAAACAUGUGUGCAUUGACCUAAUUCAUUGAUAGCCACCUAGACUGCUGCAAAUGGGAUGCAGGCUUUAAAAAUGGGGAUCCUGACCAGCCCAGUGCCCGCCUGUCGAGAUAGCCACAAAGGCACGUCCUCUUGUCAGUCCAGCAAGUAAUGCUGCUCCACGUUCCUCUUCCUGCCAGAUGACAGAAGAACGGCCAACACCUCCCGAUUGAGACUCGACCGAGCUCUUGUGUGAGCAACGCCAGCGCCCUGCAUCCAGACCAGACAAGCCCAGCUGCUGGACCCCAGAGGACAGCACCACCAGGAUCCCCAGUAAGCCUGUACCGCAGCACCAGAAAUUGUCAAUGGGAAAAAUAUCCUCAGGCCAUCUUCCAGUCAGCAAGUCACAGCCUCACAAGAAAUAUGAAGAAAGGCAAAAGUGGUUUGGAAAUGUCGAUAUGAAAUGCAUAAUUCAGGGAGUAUGCCUCCCCAAGGGACCGCUGAUGGACGAGCUGCGAUGAAGACGGGGGUCGAGUUUUCACGGUGCGGAAGGAGAUGUUAACCCGACCUGCAGCCUCUGCACACUUGGCAGAAGUCCAGGGACACGACCCUGAUCGGUCACCC